rnacentral:rRNA from 1 species
AUGGCUCUUUUGCCCCUCUCUCUCUCUCUCUGCAGAGUGGUCUUUCUCCUUCCUUUUCUCCCCACGCCUCCCAAAUCCGCUAGUAAUCUCCGGAAGCUCGGCCACGGAAUCGAUGAAUGCGGUGGUGGAUUUGGAAGAAGAAGCUGCCAUGGUCGCAUGCUCGUAGCCGCAGACGAGAUGGGUGUGCUUGGUGUGACGCGCGUCGGCGGGAGGAGCGGGGCAACGGAGCGCGGAGCCGGUAGGAGGAGCGGGGCGGCGGCGGCGUGGUCUGGGGGAGGAGCGAGGCGGCGGCCGCGUAUCAAUAUCAGGGAGGAAGCGUCAGGCUUGAGUAGAGUGGUUGAGUGGAUUGCGGGAGACUUGUCGAUAGUGCGUCUGUAA